rnacentral:rRNA from 1 species
GGUUAAGCGACUAAGCGUACACGGUGGAUGCCCUGGCAGUCAGAGGCGAUGAAGGACGUGCUAAUCUGCGAUAAGCGUCGGUAAGGUGAUAUGAACCGUUAUAACCGGCGAUUUCCGAAUGGGGAAACCCAGUGUGUUUCGACACACUAUCAUUAACUGAAUCCAUAGGUUAAUGAGGCGAACCGGGGGAACUGAAACAUCUAAGUACCCCGAGGAAAAGAAAUCAACCGAGAUUCCCCCAGUAGCGGCGAGCGAACGGGGAGCAGCCCAGAGCCUGAAUCAGUGUGUGUGUUAGUGGAAGCGUCUGGAAAGGCGCGCGAUACAGGGUGACAGCCCCGUACACAAAAAUGCACAUGCUGUGAGCUCGAUGAGUAGGGCGGGACACGUGGUAUCCUGUCUGAAUAUGGGGGGACCAUCCUCCAAGGCUAAAUACUCCUGACUGACCGAUAGUGAACCAGUACCGUGAGGGAAAGGCGAAAAGAACCCCGGCGAGGGGAGUGAAAAAGAACCUGAAACCGUGUACGUACAAGCAGUGGGAGCACGCUUAGGCGUGUGACUGCGUACCUUUUGUAUAAUGGGUCAGCGACUUAUAUUCUGUAGCAAGGUUAACCGAAUAGGGGAGCCGAAGGGAAACCGAGUCUUAACUGGGCGUUAAGUUGCAGGGUAUAGACCCGAAACCCGGUGAUCUAGCCAUGGGCAGGUUGAAGGUUGGGUAACACUAACUGGAGGACCGAACCGACUAAUGUUGAAAAAUUAGCGGAUGACUUGUGGCUGGGGGUGAAAGGCCAAUCAAACCGGGAGAUAGCUGGUUCUCCCCGAAAGCUAUUUAGGUAGCGCCUCGUGAAUUCAUCUCCGGGGGUAGAGCACUGUUUCGGCAAGGGGGUCAUCCCGACUUACCAACCCGAUGCAAACUGCGAAUACCGGAGAAUGUUAUCACGGGAGACACACGGCGGGUGCUAACGUCCGUCGUGAAGAGGGAAACAACCCAGACCGCCAGCUAAGGUCCCAAAGUCAUGGUUAAGUGGGAAACGAUGUGGGAAGGCCCAGACAGCCAGGAUGUUGGCUUAGAAGCAGCCAUCAUUUAAAGAAAGCGUAAUAGCUCACUGGUCGAGUCGGCCUGCGCGGAAGAUGUAACGGGGCUAAACCAUGCACCGAAGCUGCGGCAGCGACGCUUAUGCGUUGUUGGGUAGGGGAGCGUUCUGUAAGCCUGCGAAGGUGUGCUGUGAGGCAUGCUGGAGGUAUCAGAAGUGCGAAUGCUGACAUAAGUAACGAUAAAGCGGGUGAAAAGCCCGCUCGCCGGAAGACCAAGGGUUCCUGUCCAACGUUAAUCGGGGCAGGGUGAGUCGACCCCUAAGGCGAGGCCGAAAGGCGUAGUCGAUGGGAAACAGGUUAAUAUUCCUGUACUUGGUGUUACUGCGAAGGGGGGACGGAGAAGGCUAUGUUGGCCGGGCGACGGUUGUCCCGGUUUAAGCGUGUAGGCUGGUUUUCCAGGCAAAUCCGGAAAAUCAAGGCUGAGGCGUGAUGACGAGGCACUACGGUGCUGAAGCAACAAAUGCCCUGCUUCCAGGAAAAGCCUCUAAGCAUCAGGUAACAUCAAAUCGUACCCCAAACCGACACAGGUGGUCAGGUAGAGAAUACCAAGGCGCUUGAGAGAACUCGGGUGAAGGAACUAGGCAAAAUGGUGCCGUAACUUCGGGAGAAGGCACGCUGAUAUGUAGGUGAAGUCCCUCGCGGAUGGAGCUGAAAUCAGUCGAAGAUACCAGCUGGCUGCAACUGUUUAUUAAAAACACAGCACUGUGCAAACACGAAAGUGGACGUAUACGGUGUGACGCCUGCCCGGUGCCGGAAGGUUAAUUGAUGGGGUUAGCGCAAGCGAAGCUCUUGAUCGAAGCCCCGGUAAACGGCGGCCGUAACUAUAACGGUCCUAAGGUAGCGAAAUUCCUUGUCGGGUAAGUUCCGACCUGCACGAAUGGCGUAAUGAUGGCCAGGCUGUCUCCACCCGAGACUCAGUGAAAUUGAACUCGCUGUGAAGAUGCAGUGUACCCGCGGCAAGACGGAAAGACCCCGUGAACCUUUACUAUAGCUUGACACUGAACAUUGAGCCUUGAUGUGUAGGAUAGGUGGGAGGCUUUGAAGUGUGGACGCCAGUCUGCAUGGAGCCGACCUUGAAAUACCACCCUUUAAUGUUUGAUGUUCUAACGUUGACCCGUAAUCCGGGUUGCGGACAGUGUCUGGUGGGUAGUUUGACUGGGGCGGUCUCCUCCUAAAGAGUAACGGAGGAGCACGAAGGUUGGCUAAUCCUGGUCGGACAUCAGGAGGUUAGUGCAAUGGCAUAAGCCAGCUUGACUGCGAGCGUGACGGCGCGAGCAGGUGCGAAAGCAGGUCAUAGUGAUCCGGUGGUUCUGAAUGGAAGGGCCAUCGCUCAACGGAUAAAAGGUACUCCGGGGAUAACAGGCUGAUACCGCCCAAGAGUUCAUAUCGACGGCGGUGUUUGGCACCUCGAUGUCGGCUCAUCACAUCCUGGGGCUGAAGUAGGUCCCAAGGGUAUGGCUGUUCGCCAUUUAAAGUGGUACGCGAGCUGGGUUUAGAACGUCGUGAGACAGUUCGGUCCCUAUCUGCCGUGGGCGCUGGAGAACUGAGGGGGGCUGCUCCUAGUACGAGAGGACCGGAGUGGACGCAUCACUGGUGUUCGGGUUGUCAUGCCAAUGGCACUGCCCGGUAGCUAAAUGCGGAAGAGAUAAGUGCUGAAAGCAUCUAAGCACGAAACUUGCCCCGAGAUGAGUUCUCCCUGACCCUUUAAGGGUCCUGAAGGAACGUUGAAGACGACGACGUUGAUAGGCCGGGUGUGUAAGCGCAGCGAUGCGUUGAGCUAACCGGUACUAAUGAACCGUGAGGCUUAACCUU